UACGGAAGGUCCGGGCGUUAUCCGGAUUUAUUGGGUUUAAAGGGAGCGUAGGUCGGAGAUUAAGCGUGUUGUGAAAUGUAGACGCUCAACGUCUGCACUGCAGCGCGAACUGGUUUCCUUGAGUACGCACAAAGUGGGCGGAAUUCGUGGUGUAGCGGUGAAAUGCUUAGAUAUCACGAAGAACUCCGAUUGCGAAGGCAGCUCACUGGAGCGCAACUGACGCUGAAGCUCGAAAGUGCGGGUAUCGAACAGG
rnacentral:rRNA from 1 species